rnacentral:piRNA from 1 species
UAGGAUGGUAAACUGCCUGUUUUCUUGUU